CGGGUUAGAGCCUGGUUGGUUGGGCGCCUCAUUUGGGAUGAGGAAUUUUUAUGUUCGAAUCAUAAUGACCCGA
rnacentral:tRNA from 3 species